AAUUAUCACUUAAACCAGCUGUUUAUCCAAUAUGAGGCUCAAAACAAAUAGUUUCAAAAAGUCAGUAGGUCAUUAAAAAUUUUUUUAGUCAUUCAAAACAAUCAGAUAACACCACCAUAUAACACUUAAAUCGCAUUAUAGUCACAGCAGCAGAAUUUCAGCAACAGCAAGACAAAGUAAUACAAAUAGGAAUGAGCAAAGAGUAGACAAAUAAUGGGUAUGAAUUGGCCUGGGAUAUAUUAUGGCAAUGUCAAAAUAUAAAUCAAUUGUGAUUUGUUAAAUAAGUGAAAACUAUGCAUUCUCAGUCCAUGAAAGUCACCAGGGGGCCCUCUGGGUCUCUUGAAUUUUAAGAAGCUCAAGAGGUUGAGAGUUAAUGAACCCUGCACAGUUGCUAACUGACUCAUGUAAAUGUUAGGCCGGCUGCUUCCUCCCACAGGGCAAAUCCACAGCACACAGCCACCCUGGGCUGGCGUCUCACAGUGUAGCUGCUCUUGGCGCUGAGACCUAGGUGGAGGUAAAGGUAGCUAAGAUUUGCAUAAAGCAGCACACAACACACCCCCUCCAUGCAGAGCUCAGUAGGAGAUAAAGAGCCAUCAGAAUCCAGCCCCAGCUCUGGAGCCAAGGGUCCCUUCCAUUAUCAGCGCCAUGGCCUGGACUCCUCUCUUUCUCCUGUUUCUCUCCACUUGCUGCCCAGGGUCCAACUCCCAGGCUGUGGUGACUCAGGAGCCCUCACUGACUGUGUCCCCAGGAGGGACAGUCACUCUCACCUGUGCUUCCAGCACUGGAGCAGUCACCAGUAGUAAUUAUCCCUACUGGUUCCAGCAGAAGCCUGGCCAAGCCCCCAGAACACUGAUUUAUGAUACAAGCAACAAACACUCCUGGACCCCGGCCCGGUUCUCAGGCUCCCUCCUUGGGGGCAAAGCGGCCCUGACCCUCUCAGGUGCACAGCCUGAGGACGAGGCUGAGUACUACUGCUCAGUGUACUAUAGUGGUACUCAGCACAGUGACAGACUCAGAAGAGGAACCAAGACAUAAACCUCCCUUGGCCCUUGCGAUGUGAAGAUCACGUGAUCACACACACCAGCUCUCAAGUCAGCCUACACGCGGACCAGCCAUAGAAAGGGGAAGGGAAGGGUCUGAAUGGAUUUCUAUCCCUGCUUAAGCCCUGAAGUGGAAUAAAUGUUUGAAUGAUCUGGGAAUAACUGGAUCAAAAGAAGCAAAAAUUAAUUGUUUUAUAUUCUACAAAGAACACUAACAGUUGGAUCAGAUCUAAAGGCUGAGUCUAAAUGUAUUUCCUCCAGGAAGAAGCAUCUUUAAUGUGUGGGCUUUUUGAAAUAGGAGCAAAGGGAAGAAGUUCCUUUUUUUCUUCUUUUUUUGGUAUAUUUCUGAAGUUUGCUUAAUUGAGUUACUUUCAAAGCAAUACAUGCCAAUUAUAUAAAAUAAAAAUAUUACAAGCCACCAAAUUCAUUGCAUAUCUACCUUAUCCCAAACAAUCAACAUAAGUACAUUUCUUCCUGUGGAUACAUUCUUUCAUUUUUGUUCUCAAUAUUUCCACAAAGGUGAUCAUAUUUUGUGCUUUUCCCUCUCGUUUGAUGCAUCUUUAUGCUCCUAUGUCAUUUAUGGUUAAUAUAAGUAGUAUUCCACUUCUUAAAAAUGAUAAGAUGUUUGAAUAUUUGUUAAUUUUAUUUUGACUUGAGCACCAAUGAAAAAAUAUAGUUUUAUAGAUAAUUCCAAUGGUUUUCUUAUCAGACAAAAGCGUGACAUUGUGUUCUUACUAAGAAACACCAGAUUAUUUCUGUGGAUUUAAUGAAGUGAGGGAAAAUGCCUGCAAUUUUCAGUGGAAAGCCUUGAGUACACUAUGCCUGAUUUCAGAAUGCACAACAUAGACAAACAAGAGUUUCCAGCUCAGGUUUGCUGGAUCAUAAUAGGUUUGGUUAUGAGGAACAAUGUAUACGCAAAACUAUAUCAAUGUCUUCAUGCAUGUGUUAGAACACUCCAUCGCAAACUCAAUUGUUUAUCCUCAUCCCCACAAAUUAUCUGGGAUCCUACAAAAAGCAGAUUCUGAUUGAAUAGGUAUGAAAUGAUGAUGCAGUCCCUGCGUUUCCAAAAUCUUCCUGCCACAGAAAAUCCACAUAUGUGUUUUAAUAAUAACAAGUCCAGCCAGGAGCAGAGGCUCACGUGUGUAAUCCUAGCACUUUGAGAGGCUGAGGCAGAAGGAUUACUUGAGGCCAAAAGUUUGAGACUAACAAUGAUUAACAGAGCAAGAUCUUUUC